AAUCUAGCCAUCCAGGUUGAAUGAAGUUCAAGUUUGCUUAACUUAUCACAUUUAUUAUUUAAUUUUCUAUAGUAGUCGGAUCGCAUAUUAUAAAUAAUGUUCAAACGUCCGCAGAUGUAUGAAUAUAUUUGGAACACCGAUUUACGUUUAGUUGGAUGUUAAAUAACUAAAAUACUUUCUACUUAAGUAUUUUAUAAACAUGAGUGUCCAGGGACGUCUUGCAUUUAUUACUGGCGCAGGCUCUGGGAUAGGUAGGGCGGCAUCCCAAUGUUUAGCCAGAGAAGGAGCAAUAGUAAUAGCUGCAGAUAAAAAUGUCGAAAAUGCCAAAGAGACUGUAAACCUAUUACCAAAAGACAACAAACAUACCUCAUUGCAAUUGUCCGUUGAGAACAAGGAUAGCGUUAAAUUGGCCUUGGAUACUGUAAUCAAAGCUUACUUAAAACCACCAAGCAUUAUUGUGAAUGCUGCUGGUAUAACUAGAGAUAAUUUCCUUAACAAACUAUCCGAAGAAGAUUUUUCUGAAGUUUUGGAUGUAAAUUUAAAGGGCACCUUUUUAAUUCUCCAAACAUUUGCAAAUUCGAUUGUUGAAAAUAAUGUGCAAGAGGCCUCAAUAAUAAAUGUUGGCAGCAUAGUUGCAAAGUAUGGAAAUAUAGGUCAAGCAAAUUACUGUGCGAGCAAAGCAGGUGUUGAAUUAUUAACUAAAGUGGCAUCAAGGGAAUAUAGCAAAAAGGGCAUAAGGGUAAAUACUGUUUUACCUGGUAUGAUUUCUACUCCUAUGACCGCUGCAGUUCCAGAAAAAGUUAAAGCUAAAUUUUUAACUCAAAUACCACUUGGGCGAUUUGGCACACCUGAAGAAAUUGCAGAAGUCAUUUUGUUUCUGGCGUCAUGUAGAAGUUCUUACGUGACAGGUACAUCUAUAGAAGUAACAGGGGGAUUUUAACCAACUGUGCCAAUUGUCUUCUGACAUAUGCGUCCAGGUGUCACGAUGCAGCUUUCGGUAGGUGUAAAAAACCCCAGAAUCCAGAUCAAAGAGCCUAAAGGUAGCUGGAACUAUUUUGACGAAUUUGGAUGGUUUUUCGGUUGGCCCCUUUAAGAGGCUGCAAGUGAUCCUUGCCGACCUAUUUAGAUUUCGCGUUGUUUUUUCUAAUUAAAAUAUGAAACCUAAUAUUUUUUACAAAACGAUUCGUGCUAGGGAAUUUUAUCGGUUAUUUAUGUUGAAGUAGUAGAUGACAAUUAACCUUGUAGUUUUUACUUGCAACAUUUAAGUUGCUUGCAUUAACAUUAUGUUUGAUGCAAAAUUUACCUUGCAGUUUUUAAGAAAUUAUUAUUGCGGUUUUUGCGAAUUUUGCAGAACGUCUUCUUCGAAAUUUUAGUGUCCUCUUUUUACUUACUUAAGAUCUAGAUUUCUGCUUACAUCGUCAAACGGUGUAUAUUAUAUUGUAUUAUUUUAUUUGCUAUUAUGCCAAUAUACAAUUUAUUUCAGGUACUAUAGGUAAAUGUUUCUAUUUACUAAUGAAACGUUUUUAUUGCAGAGCUGAACUCUUUAUAAUUAAUUAUAUCAUUUAGGUACUUCUUUUGCUACCAUACAAUAUUUUUCAAGUUAAUCAGGCAGCUUGAAAAUACUUUUAGUUACUAAUAAAAAAAAUUUCUAGCAGCAUUAAACCGUUUACAUUUUAGGAUGUUUAUUACCUAAUUAAAUAAUUAUACCUUUUCAAGCUACAUUGUGAACAGUCGAAGUAAUGUUUUUAAAUAUCUUAACUUCUAAUUAAUUGAUUGCCCAGAUUGCCUGUUGUACUAAACACAUUACUUUCCUCUGUAAAAUUAUUCCGUGCAAAUCCAGGUACGGUCAAACUAAACUGAUACAAAUUUUAUUUCAUGGUACCAAUUUACCACUUUUUUGUGGUAAUGAGAAAAACCCGAUUUACAUGUGCGAAGUUAAUAAAGUAAUUUCUAACAAAGUU